rnacentral:tRNA from 1 species
GCCGACUUAACUUAAUUGGCAGAGUAACUAAAUCGUAACUAGUAAGUAACGGUUCGAUUCCGUUAGUCGGCACCA